rnacentral:misc_RNA from 1 species
GGAAGUAAAAGUCGUAACCAAGGUUUCCGUAGGUGAACCUGCGGAAGGAUCAUUACUGAGUGAGGGCCCUCUGGGUCCACCCUCCCACCCGUGUUUAUUGUACCUUGUUGCUUCGGUGAGCCCGCCUCACGGCCGCCGGGGGGCAUCUGCCCCCGGGCCCGCGCUCGCCGAAGACACCCUUGAACUCUGUCUGAAGUUUGCAGUCUGAGCGAAAACUAAAUAAGUUAAAACUUUCAACAACGGAUCUCUUGGUUCCG